GGCAAAAGCUCAAAUUUGAAAUCCUUCGGGAAUUGUAUUUUGAAGGUGGGUUUGGUUAGGAAAAGUUACUUUAAGUCCAUUGGAAAAUGGCGCCAUGGAGGGUGAUAGCCCCGUAAAAGUAUCCCUUUUCCUUUUAUCCAUUCCCUCCAAAGAGUCGAGUUGUUUGGGAAUGCAGCUCUAAGUGGGUGGUAAAUUCCAUCUAAAGCUAAAUAUUGGCGAGAGACCGAUAGCGAACAAGUACAGUGAUGGAAAGAUGAAAAGCACUUUGAAAAGAGAGUGAAAAAGUACGUGAAAUUGUUGAAAGGGAAGGGCUUGCAAGCAGACACAACCUCGGUUGGGCCAGCAUCGGAGUKGGGGGAGACAAAAAAGAAAAGGAAUGUAACUCUUUCGAGUAUUAUAGCCUUUUUCUCAUAUCUCCACCCCCUUCCGAGGCCUGCGA
rnacentral:rRNA from 1 species